rnacentral:rRNA from 1 species
AUUGAACGCUGGCGGCAGGCAUAACACAUGCAAGUCGAGAGGAGCGGCGGAAGGGUGAGUAAUGCCUAGGAAUCUGCCUGGUAGUGGGGGAUAACGUCCGGAAACGGGAGCAAAUACCGCAUACUAUCAGAUGAGCCUAGGGCGGAUUAGCUAGUUGGUGGGGUAAAGGCCUACCAAGGCGACGAUCCGUAACUGGUCUGAGAGGAUGAACAGUCACACUGGAACUGAGACACGGUACAGACUCCUCCGGGAGGCAGCAGUGGGGAAUAUUGGACAAUGGGCGAAAGCCUGAUCCAGCCAUGCCGCGUGUAUGAAGAAGGUCUUCGGAUUGUAAAGCACUGUAAGUUGGGAGGCGUUACCAACAGAAUAAGCACCGGCUAACUUCGUGCCAGCAGCCGCGGUAAUAC